AGAGGACAGAUGGAUUCUUCUGCCCACCCUGGAGAAAGAGGGAGCCCAACCCUGCCCAGGACUCUGUGAUGAACCAGUUAAGCUGUUCUGCUUGGCACUCCCAAUUCAGGAUGAAUCCACAUCUCCAAAAUUAUCGUGGCAUAGUCUGACCUACACAGUGAGUUCCUGGCAUGUAGGGACCCCCUCCCCCUCUCUUCCCUGCUAUGCCCAUUUUCCAAAGAGAUUCAUCUUCUCCAAAUGUCAGGACUGAAUUACAAACAUUUCCCCAGCCCACUCCCUUCUGUACCACAUCUCCAGCCUUCUCCAAACUCACGCCUGGGAUUAGGAAUCGACUGGGGAAGCCUUCCAAUCUGUCUUUCAAGAAGGAUCAGCCAUGGGGGGAGAAAUUGGAAUGCCACAGGAAAGCGGCCUGCCCCCCCUCGGCACAGCAGAAGCCUCCACGCUUGCUAAUGCAGAAUUCGAUUAUGUGCUGACUGUCCCUGAGAAAUAAGCUCUCCCCACAGCCAGGAAGCAUGUGGAAAGCUCAGAGUCAGCAGGUGGGUGUGGCAGCAACAGAUCUAGAAAAUGAGAUCUAGAAAGUUUUCGGCUGGUUCUAGACCUGACCUGGACACACCUUCCACCAACCUCUUCCAUGCUAGGGAAUGUUUCCUGCCCUGAGCUGGAGGAGGCUGGCCUCCCACUCAAGGAGCCCCUGGGAGUCUGAAGAGAGAACCUCUUUCUAAUUUGAGAUGGUUAGCCAUUCAGAGCUUGGGACCAAGCUGAUGAGUUUGAAUGAUGAGCCAGAAGGACAAGGCCAGGAGCUAAUGGGAGAGGUGCCUGCCUCAGUGGGCAACACAUCCAUCAAGAUGCUACAUCUACACAGAAAGGGGACCUGACCCCUGCCAUUCUAUGGUCCAUGUCACUAUCAUCAGCAGAAUCCAGCUAGGUGAGAAAAGAAGUAUCGACACAGAACUGGCCUAGAGAUAGAAUUUUGAAGAAAAUAUGAAGAAGCCAUAAGGUAAAAGAAACAUCACUCAUGACCAUAGGCCAGAGCUGAAGCAAUUCUACAACAGUUGGACUUUGGAGACAAGACCUCACACAAGCCGACUGAGCCAGGACAGUGGCCCAGAAGCCCAAAGGAAGAGGCAGCCAGGGCUACGGGUGGUGGGACCUGCUGAGCCCAAGUGCUCACCAAGCCAUUCAGACUCUAACAACCUCAUCUGCAAAAGGCCAUUGGUUUAGCAUGUGUGGCAGGCUAUCCUGAGUGCUGAACCUGCGGUUACCCCCAAGGGUCAAUAUGUUUUCAUUACUCAGAUCCAGAGAAGGAGGCAGAUGGCAUGUCCAGCCAGAAGAGGCAUCUGCCUGAAGUUUGGAGUAUGGUUGUCCCUUGUCUGAGACUUGUGACUCGAUUUGAAAAGCAAUGUCUGGGCAGACUGGAAGAGAGCCCAUAUGGGGAGGCCUGAGCCCUUGAUACUUGGUGGGAGGAAGUGCCAGCUUAAACUUCCAGUCUAAUCAACUGUCUCUCCUGCUCUGGAGCCUGAAAUGUCACCCCCGACUGUGACAUGGAUUUGAAGGACCUUCUAUUUUCCAUAGUUUCUACUUAAAGUAUAUAUCUCGAGGAGCAGUGGAGUCUUAAACACGAGGGCCGGAUUCACCCUUGCUGCCUCUGCAAAUUGGGAUGUGCCUUAGUUAGGGUUUUUAUUGCUUGAAGGGACACCAUGACCACAGCAACUCUUAUAAAGUAAAACAUUUAAUUGGGGAGGCUCGCUUACAGUUUCAGAAGUUCAGUCCAUCAUCAUCACGGCAGGGAGUAUGGUGGCAUACAGGCAGACAUGGUGCUGGCUCUAUCUUUCAGGGAACAGGAAGUUGAAUGAGACACGUGGCAGUAUCCUGAGCAUAGGAAACCUCAAAGCCCACAGUGGCACAUUUCCUCCAACAAGGCUAUACCCAUUCCAACGAAAGCCACACCUCCUAAUAAUGGCACCCCCCAAGAGCUUAUCGAGGCCAAUUACAUUCAAACCACCACAGGGUGUCUUUGCUGGUGUUUGCCUUUUAGCUCCUGAGCACAUUUCAGCUGGUAUUUUAACUCUAAAUACCUAGGGAGGAAAAGAGUAGCGGAAAAUAUAGGCAUUAGAUAGACCAAGUUAGGGGAUCUCCAAAGUCAAAGGGAAGACGUGGUGUGAAGCUGAUCUUUAUGGUUUUAAACACAAAAAUAAGGGUUGUUUAUCAGGAAGUCAUCCAAGAUAUUGCCCCCACCCCCUCUCUUUCCUUUUCUUUUUUGAGAUGCUGUGGUGCUCUCAAUGAGAAAUGUCCUCUGUAGACUCAAGUAUUAAAAAUUUGGUCCCCAGUAGAUGGCGCUGUUUGGGAAGGCAGUGCAGCCUUGCUGGAGGAAGUUAUAUCUCUGGGGGUGGGCUCUCAGAGUUGAUGGCCUCACCCCACAUCCGUUUCUCUGUAUCUCUGUGUCAUGGUAGAGAUUGAAGAUGUGAUCUCUCAGCUUCCUAAUCCUCUUGUCAAGCUUGUCUCAUGCUGCCAUGCUUCCCUCCUUCCGUGAAGGACUCUCAUUCCUCUGGACCCAUACAUCCAAAAUAAACUCUUUUUUUUUUUCUUCCCAUAAGUUGCUUUUGGUCAUGGUGUUCUAUUACAGCAAUAGAAAAGUCACCCAUACAGAAAUUUGUCCCAGACAGUGAAUUGUUGUAAAGAACUUGGCCAUGUGUUCAAAGGAGAAAUGUGGGGGAUUUUUGGAUAUUGGGGCUAGAAAAGUAGUUACACACUAUAGGCUGAGCUUGAUGAGAUGUUCUAGUAGGAGCCUGGAAGACAGAAGGAAUUGUAGAGGCUCAAGAGGUUUCAGAGGAGAACAAUAUUAGCUAGGCUAGGGACCAUUCUUGUGCUAUGUGGGAGGGAAUUAAAAAAACUGGCUGCCUUCUACCCUUGUCCAAAGCCUGAGUAAUGGACUAAGUUUGUUUCCCAGAGGGAACCUCAGGAGAGCAUAGUGUUGAAUCUGGGACAUGGUCGCUGCUGAUAAAGCAGAUGGAGGUCUAUAAUGAAAAAGAGCAAUGGGACAGAGAGAAAUUUAAAAAAUGUACAGUUUGGAGAGAAGAACACCGGGAAGAAAGCUUUACUCUGCAGCCAAGGAGUGUGCAGAGAGGGAAGGGGACUGUAAUUGUGAAGGGGAUUAGCACCACUAAGGAAAGACCUGCUUACACCAGAACAAUCGGAGAGGUGCUCUCUUUAGGUUUCUAUUGCUAUGAAGAGACACCAUGACCACAGCAACUCUUAUACAGGAAAACGUUUAAUUGGGGUGGCUUCCUACAGUUCAGAGGUUCAGUCUAUUAUCAUCAUGAUAGGACAUGGAACUGUGCAGGCAGACAUGGUGCUGGAGAAGGAGCUGGGAGUUCUACAUCUUGAUCCACAGGCAACAGGAAGUGAACUGUGACACUGGGCAUAGCUUGAGCAUAGGAGACCUCAAAGCCCACCUCCACAGUGACACACUUCCUCUAACAAGACCACACCUACUCCAACAAGGCCACACCUCCUAGUAGUGCCACUCCCUUGGGAGGGCCAUUUUCUUUCAAUCCACCACAGGUGCCCAGAGAGCAAGAUCCCCCACUCCCCUCUAAGCCUCCAACUUAUGAAAUAGAGCUUACGGGGUUUUCUGCUCCUAGAAAACAAGUGAAGAAAAAAAGCUGCUUCUAAUGUGAUUCAAGAUGGGCCCAGGGCCAUCUUAAGUUGGCAGCCAAACUUGACAGUGUUGACCAUAUAGUCAAAGGCACAGAGGAUACAGGAGUAAAAGGAACAUGGAUUCCACCUCUGAAGUUUCAGAGAGCUGCUGAGGCCAACCAGUGUACGAUGUGGAGGCCCCUUGAGAGAGCAGCAGGCUCUGAGGGACCAUUGAAUGAAGCUGAGAGUCUAGUGUAGGUUCUAGUGGAGCCACCCAAGAUGUUGGAGAUGCCAGAGCUGCGAGACAUCUGCCAAGGAGAGCUGCAUGCAUGGCAUGGAAUCAGGCCAACAGAGGUAUGUUGCAUCUUGCAAAACUGUAGGGGAUGGAACUGCUAAAGCCCUUUAAGUUCAAGCUCCAGACACUGGAUAUAGAGCUACAGGAUUUGGUUUUUAUCCUUCUGGGUUUCGGUCUUGCGUUGGUCCAGUGUUUCCUCACUAUUCUUCUAUUCUUCACUUUUAGAAUGAGAAUACAUCGUCUACGCUAUGCUAUAUCAGGAUGACGUAGUUUGCUUUUUUGGCAUUACAGGGUGUUGUAAUUAAUAGACUGUCUUGAAUCUCAGAAGAGACUGUGGACUUGGGUUUUAAAACAGUGUUGAAACUGUGAAAGAUUGUGAAGACUUCUGGAGUCACACUAAAACACUUCAUGUUAAUGGCAUAGCCACACGACUGUGGGGGUCAAGGAACAGAGAGUGGCGGCUUCUGUGAGAAACGUCCCCCACAGGUUCAAGUGUUGGAACACAUGUCCCCAGUUGGUGGCGCUGUUUGGGAGGUGGUGCAGCCUUCCUGGAGGAAGUUACGUCACUGGAGGCGGGGCUUUGAGAGUCCAUAGCCUCGCCCCUUUCCAGUUCUCUCUCGGCUUUGUGUUUGUGUCGGUAGACAUGCUUUCUCAGCUUCCCGUCCCCACUGCCAUGCCCCAUUUGGUGCCAUGCCCCCUUCCCACCACGAUGGGCUCUUAUCCCUCUGGAAUCACGAGCCCAGAAUAAACUCCUUUUCUAUAAGUUGCUUUGGGUCAUGGUAUUUUAUCCCAGCAACAGCAAUGUAAUGGGGUCUCGCUAGUCCGGGCUGGCUCCAAACUCCAGAUUGAGGAGCGGUGGGAUUAUAGGCAUGCAUCACAUCUGUCAACCUUUUGGACUACCCACCUUCCCCAGCCCCUGACCCCAAACCUCAUGAAGAUAAAGCCGAGGAUGACCUUGAACUCCUGCCUCCCCUGUCUCUACCUCCUGAGUAUCGCCAUCACAGGCUUGUGCCACCGUGCCCAGGUAUGUGGUGUGACUAGAGACUGAACGCAGGACCUUGUGUGUGAUUGCCAAGCUAAGCUACUGCAGCCCUAUGGCCAUUCCUUGAAG